AUCUCCUUUGCCUUUGUUCACCAUAACUCUAAAAAUUUCUAUGUUGGGGCCUGGGCCAUCGCUCAACUGUCAGCUUGCUCACCUAGCAUGCAUGAGGCACUGGAUUCAAGCCUCGAACCACAUCCUGCAGCACCAGAGCUUCAGGUCCAAAGCACUGGUAUCAUCUCUGACUCAGGGCCAUGUUAGUCCUAGCCCCAGGAGCAACCCCAAGCAACAAGGCAGAAAACAGUGAAGAACCUCGUAUCCUUGCCCUUGCGCCUGGGUGUGUUCUGUGGAAUCUCUCAUGGCACUGCCUCUGCUCCCCAGGGCAGGGGAAAACAACGGUGGGCUCUGACAUACCUCUGCGCAUUCCACACAGUGGCUGUCCUCUGCAGAAUCCUUGGAAACAUUUGACUGGCAAAGGAUUUGAAACAAGCAGUUCACUACUAUAAUGACUUUCCAGGAAUUCCUCUGAAGGUGGAGAGAUGGCCAGGAAACCCACACGCAGCUAACACACCAAAGGAUGAAGCAAGAGUGCUGGAAUGUAGCUUGGUAUUAAAGGAUGUGCCUGAUGCCUGGGGUGUGCAAGGUCCUGUGUUUGAUUACAGCCAAGAGCUGGGGGGGGGGGUGUCACUAAUAAAACCUGUUACUUUGAUCUUCGAGGUAGUCAGGUGCAAUAAAAAUAUCCCCUGAAAACGUAUAACCACAAACUAGCCUUCACAUUGGUUUGUGACCUAAUUCACAUAGCCUGUGUUUUCUGAGAAACCCCAGAUGAUUUAUUUUUAAAUGACUCCAGAGUAGAUGUAACAUUGCUACCCAAACCCUCAAAGACCACACAAAGAGAACCAAAAGACCAGCCUGACUUAGAAACAUCAAUGCAAAAACAUUAAGUAAAAUGCAAAGAAAUGGAUAUCAAUGCAAAAACAUUAAGUAAAAUGCAAAGAAAUGGAAUUGAGGGACACAUUCCCAAAGGAACUGUGAGCUUUGAUAUAUGAGUGAGAAAAAUGGUCCAUUAUCAAAGUCUAGGUAUGUUAUAGCCAAGCUUGAUGGUUCAUGCAUAAACCCAGGACUUGGAAGGCUAAGAAAAGGUGAUUGCGGAAUUUAGAGGCCAGCCUGGGCUACAUAGCAAGAUCCUGUCUCAAAACAAUCAAACUUAUGGAAAUCUUGGUAUUUUCAUGUCUUAAGAGAAAAAUGGUGUGAUCUUAGUUGAUAUUAAUUUGGGAGGGAAGGGGCUUUCUUUCUUUUUUUAGGUUUAUUUAUUAUGUAUACAGUGUUCUGUCUGUCUGUAUGUCUGCAGGGCAGAAGAGGGCACCAGAUCUCAUUACAGAUGGUUGCGAGCCACCAUGUGGUUGCUGGGAAUUGAACUCAGGAAGAGCAGCCAGUGCUCUUAACCACUGAGCCAUCUCUCCAGCCCCUGGGAGGGGGCUUUCUUGAUUUAAGAAAAUCCCCAUGAAAUAUGCAGAACUUCCUCAUAGGUAUUUAUUUAUUAGUCCAGACCCUACCUUAUUUAUUUAUUAUUUUCAUUAUUCUUUGACAUAUAUGGGUGCUUUGACUGUAUGUAUGUGGGCACUCCAUGCAUUCUUGGUGCCUGCUAAGGUCAAAAGGGGAUGCUGGAAACCCCAGGACUGGCGUUACAGACAGUUUUGUUGCUCUGUGGUUAUUGGGAACAGAACCUGGGUCCUCUGGAUGAGAAGUUGCUGCUCCUAACUAACUGCUGAGCCGUCUAUCCAGCCCUAGAAUCUAUUUUAAGAUUGAUGUUAUUAUUUGGUGUGUGUGUGUGUAUGUGUGUGUGUGUGUGUGUGUGUGUGUGUGUGCUCACGCAUGUCCACUAAAGUACAUGUGCAUGUGUACAUAUGAGUUCACUGUUCUCAAAAGAGAGUGGCAAAUGCCGUGGAGACAUCAGCCUCCAGAUGUGGGAACCGAUCUCAGCCCCUCUGGAAACGCAGCAGGUGUUCUGGACUGCUGAGCCGCUGCUCCAGUCCCCAGAAUCAACCUUGAUGAGAAACAAUGGCAGCCUCAGGCUGAAGUAAAAGCAAGACCAGAAUGCCCUCACCACCAUUAACAAAAACACCGCCUGAGGCUGCUCACAGAUGCAAUUAGAUGAGAGAAAAGUGUGAGAGAGGAGCUGAGAAUGGGUCUCCAUUCACAGAGAGAGGAGCUGAGAAUGGGUCUCCAUUCACAAAGAGAGGAGCUGAGAAUGGGUCUCCAUUCAUGGAGUGCUUGCCUGGCAGGGAGCCCUGGCUCAGUCCCCAGCACUGUAGCAAGUGAGCAUGGUGAUACUGACACACAACUGGGAUCUUAGUACUCAGCUGGUAGACAUAGGAGGCUCAGAAAUACAAGUCAUCCUUACUUAUAUAAGGAUGUGUGUGUGUGUGUCUCAGGUUCCAUGCCUACCCGAGACACACACACACCACACAUACUUGGGAAAGAGAUGGUAAGCCAUAACUAAUCUCAAAUAAUAUGGUUUUAUAUUUAACAGUCGCUGAAGGGCCUGUCAAGCAGACUCAUUGGGUAAAGAGGCACUUGCCACCAUGUCUGACACCAGGGCUUGAUCCCUGUGACCCACUAGAUAGAGAGUGGGCCUGAAAAUUAUUCUCUGACCUCCACAUUCCUGCUGUAGCCUGCUCUUGAAUGUACACACACACACACACACACACACACACACACACACACACACACACUAAACAAGUAAAUUUGUUUUGUUCUGUUUUGUUUUAAUGAGUGUGAUGGCUGAUCUUGGUUGUCAACGUGACAUGCCAGGGAAGAGGGAGCCCCUACUGAGGAAUUGCCUCCCUCAUAUUGGCCAGUGGGCACGUCUCAGGGGACAUUUUCUUCCACAGCCAGACACAGAAGAAGCAAGAUGAGAAUGCCAUACUGAGUAAAGGUCCCAAGCCACAUGGCUAAACAUAGAUAAGAAUAAUGGGUGAAUUUAAGUUGUAAGAGCUAGUUAGCAAUAAGCUUGAGCAAUAGGUCAAAUGGUUUGUAAUUAAUAUAAGCCUCUGUGUGUUUAUUUGGGACUGAACAGCUACAGGAUGGGGUGGGGCAGAAACUUCCAUCUAUACUAAUGUUCAUCACAGCAAUAGAAAGCGAGCUAGGACAAAAUAUCACUGAAAUUCACUAAAACAAGAGGAUCCUAACAGUUACUCAGAGUGGCGAAUAACUAAAACAACACUAGUUAAAUAAUAAAAUGGAGGCGCUGCCUCAGCUGCAAGCAUGCUGGUCGUGCCUGGGGUACCAGCAUGGCAGCUGACGCUGAGGGCAGGGUGGUGAGCAGCAGCCUGGGGCUUGAGCAAGUCCUGCCCCAGGCAUACUGCCCACAACACGAUCACCUGGACUCUGAGCAGCAGGAUGUCCAAGCCAAAGAGUGAUUCAUUUCCUGGUUUGAGCCUCCUCGAGGGAAUUCUGUGGUCUGUGCUGCCACUGGAGGCUGUGUUGAUGUCUGUAGUCUGUGCUGCCAACAAAAUCCAUGUCGAUGUCUGUGGUCCGGGUUACCUCUGGAGACCCUGUGCCUCUAGAAAAGCCCUGUUGAUGUCUGUGCUCUGAGCUGCCUCUGAGUCCACGCGGAAGUUAUGAUCCACAAGCUACUAUGGAAAGGAAGUUUCUUUUACAGUAGACUUGAUGAAGCUAUUAAAGAGAGCCCUUAAAAUUUGUGCUGAAGAGCCUGGAGGCAGUGGCGCUCACCUUUAAUUCCAGCACUAGGGAGGCAGAGGCAGGUGAAUCUCAGUGAGUUUGAGGCCAGCCUGCUCUACAGAACGAGU